rnacentral:rRNA from 1 species
GACGAACGCUGGCGGCGUGCUUAACACAUGCAAGUCGUACGGUAAGGCCCUUUCGGGGGUACACGAGUGGCGAACGGGUGAGUAACGCGUGAGUAACCUGCCCACAACUUUGGGAUAACGCUAGGAAACUGGUGCUAAUACUGGAUAUGUGCUCCUGCUGCAUGGUGGGGGUUGGAAAGCUCCGGCGGUUGUGGAUGGACUCGCGGCCUAUCAGCUUGUUGGUGGGGUAGUGGCCUACCAAGGCGGCGACGGGUAGCCGGCCUGAGAGGGUGACCGGCCACAUUGGGACUGAGAUACGGCCCAGACUCCUACGGGAGGCAGCAGUGGGGAAUAUUGCACAAUGGGCGCAAGCCUGAUGCAGCAACGCCGCGUGCGGGAUGACGGACUUCGGGUUGUAAACCGCUUUCAGCAGGGACGAAGCUUUUUGUGACGGUACCUGCAGAAGAAGCACCGGCUAACUACGUG